AGCCAUGUGAUAAGUGCAAAGCGAACUAUUCUUUCGCCUUUUACUAAAGAAUACCGUGUAUUUAUCACUUUUAAUGGCAUACGUGUAUUUUUGGAAGAGUCUGAUAAAAGGCUCU